CACGUAGGGGGCGAGCGUUGUCCGGAUUCAUUGGGCGUAAAGCGCGCGCAGGCGGCUCGGAAAGUCGGGUGUGAAAACUCGGGGCUCAACCCCGGGCGUGCAUCCGAUACUGCCGGGCUUGAGGCAGGUAGGGGAGAUCGGAAUUCCUAGUGUAGCGGUGAAAUGCGCAGAUAUCAGGAGGAACACCGGUGGCGAAGGCGGGUCUCUGGGCCGAUACUGACGCUGAGGAGCGAAAGCGUGGGGAGCGAACAGG
rnacentral:rRNA from 1 species